CUCUUAGUUCUUUGAUCUCUACUUUGUUCUAGGAUUCAUAACAUCUUUCUGAACAAGGAAGAAAGCUUGAAUAUAUCUUGGGACAAAGCCAAUGACAGUGUUAAGCAAUUCCUGAACCACUCAAGAAACUCUUGGACCAAAAAGAAACCAUAAAUAAGGAUAAGCCCAAAGAAGAAAUUUGAAUAUGUGGAACAAAUAUGGAUUUUUCAAGCACUGUAAUUCAUGAGAGGAGAAUGGGAUGGGGUGUUAAUUUGGUCUGGAGAACUUCACUGGUCUCUGACUUGUGAUUUUACGGUCUUGAAGAAGACAAAGAUGAAGCCUACCAAGGACAAUUAAUAACUAUUUAUCUCC
rnacentral:lncRNA from 1 species